GGGCCGCUAGCUCAAUGGCAGAGCACUCGGCUCAUACCCGAAGCGUUCCGGGUUCGACUCCUGGGCGGCCCACCA
rnacentral:tRNA from 1 species